CCCCCCCCCCCCCCCCCCCCCCCCCCCCCCCCCCCCCCCCCCCCCCCCCCCCCCCCCCCCCCCCCCCCCCCCCCCCCCCCCCCCCCCCCCUCGCCCCCACCAGCUGCCCCCUUCCCGGUAGCCAAGGCAGAUUCUUCACCUGGUGCUGCUCCCCGUCCUGGAUAAGGCCGCGUGGUGUGAUGGCAGCCGGUGAUGCAGCCGCUUUGGCGGUGAAGCGAGUAAUGCCGCGUGUAGCAAUAACAUCGCCGGUGGUGCUUGCGGCUCAAGGUUUGGAAAAGAAA
rnacentral:lncRNA from 1 species